rnacentral:lncRNA from 1 species
ACCACCAGCCUCACCCUCCUGGGACCCAGGCCUGUUGUCUUCCUUAGCCUGGAACCUAAGCACAUUUCUAUCCCAACCCUCUCUGGCACACUAACAGCCCCUUCCCUCCUGGGACAGGCUGUAAGCACCUUGAAUCCUCAUCUUACCUCAGCCGAUUUCCCCAGCCCUCAUCUCUGUUCCCUAUUUGAGGAUAUCAAUCCGUCCCAGACCUCGGCUGCCUCCCCUGCCUUCCCUCUCUCAGUCCUUUCUCUACCCCCACACCCCCGCCAAAAAAAAAUUUUUUUAAAAAAUUUAAUCUGGGACAUAUUUACUAGUCGGGAUUCUGUGGGGGCGGGGUCCUUCUCGCCUGGGACCUCAAGAGCGGACCUUUCCUUAGAUGACCCUAGAGACUGGCUUUCCAGGCAGGUCUCAGAAACCCAAAUGCUGGGCCCCCAUCUCCUCCCAUUCAGGAUUCUUGGAAGUCUAGAAUCCCAGCUCUCCUUAUCUGGGAAGAGAGGAGUCUGCACCCUCAGCGCACGUCCUAGGGGAACCUCAAGGAGAUGACUGGAGAAAAGUGAGGUCACAAAGGUGGGCUCUAACACGACUGGAGUCCUUGUCAAAAGAGAUUAAGGACCAGUGAGAUGGCUCAUCAAGGAAAGGGGAGCAUGAAUACAGUUCCUCACUACCACCAAGUAUGCAGUUGAGUUUCCUGAAUUUGGGGAAACUGUAGGGGUCAGAAUAUCAAGAUGUUCUGGAUGUGAUGGAUAAGCCUCACCCUGGGAAAAUGACCUUUGUGAUUAUGGUAUCUCUUCUUCUAGGCUCAUUGAAGAAUGCAAUGAAAUCAUUUUUAAAGAAGUGUGCUAGGCCUGAUGACACAUGCCUUUAAUCUCAGUCCUUGGGAGGCAGAGGCAAAUGGAUGUCUAACCUGUUGACUGGCUGAAUGGGCUUGGUCAGCCAUAAACAGGACAUCUCUAUCACACUCAUUCUCCAAGGCCAAAGGGAUCAUCAUCAUGCAGAAGGAGAGAGGCUGAUUCUGAGAGCCAGAGGCCAGGAAUGGAAAUCAUGUCUGUUUCACAAAGUUGUUUAUAACCAUCUUGCAAGCCUACCUCUGUUUCAAUAAGUAAUGGCAGAAUUGACUCAACUCUCAGAGCAGUGACUUUCCUAACUCCUGGCCAUGGCCGAGUUGCUUCAGUGUCGCCAGUUUUCCUGUUGCUUUCUCCUGGGCCAGCUCACCACUUCUCAAACUACACACUUCUGCAACAGCAGCAAGAUCUUCCUGACAUCUUCCUCAAGCCCAAGUUUUGGUUGUAGUUUAUCUUAUUUUACUUUAGUUUUGCAUUGGACCACGGAAUGGAUAUCUUUUCCAUCAGUGAACAGACUGCAUCUUCCACUGUGGCUCACUGCAUGCUUGAAGGACAGCCAUUAGUCUGUAACACUGUGCAGUGUUGUCCUUCAGGUAGCUGCCACAAAGAUAACUCUAUUCUCUUCUCAGGCUAAGCUGUGGACUCUCCCCUUCUGAGCAGGCAGGGGCACCCUGGGUACCCCCCUUCUGACAUUUCAAGUCUUUGUGAGGCUAGGCACUUCCUCUCCCACUGAGGCCAAACAAGACAGCCCAAGCUAUGCCCUCUUAACCGAUUCCCACCAGUGGAACGUGAGCAGGAGUGACUUGUGCCAUUUCAGUGUUCUAAGAGAGAAAUGCUGGACGGGUGCAGGGGGAGAGGAAUCCGUAUCCACUGCAGUGAGAAUAGCAAUUUGUGAAAUCACCAUGGAAAUCAAUAUGGAGGUACCCCCACAGUCCCCCCCCCAAAAAAAACCCCUAAACAUAAAAUGGCUAUUUGAUCCAGCUAUACCACUCCUGGCUAUAUGGCCAAAGGAAUCAAAGUCACUAUGCUACAGAAAUUCCUGCACAUUUAUGUUUACUAUAGCACUAUUUACAACAGCCACGUUGUGGAAAAAAGCUAGGUGUCCACCAGUGGAUGAAUGGAUAAAGAAAAUAUGGCACAUAAACAAAGUGGAAUUUUUACCUAGCCAUAAAGAGGAAUAAAUUUGUGGCAUUGUCAGGAAAAUGAAUGGAACUGGGGAUCAUUGUAUUCAGGGAAAUAAGAUAGACCCAGAAAAACAAAUAUAAAAUAAAAUAUAUGUAAAUAC